CCUACGGGUGGCUGCAGUAGGGAAUCUUCCACAAUGGGCGAAAGCCUGAUGGAGCAACGCCGCGUGGAUGAAGAAGGUCUUCGGAUCGUAAAACCCUGUUGUUAGAGAAGAAAGUGCGUGAGAGUAACUGUUCACGUUUCGACGGUAUCUAUCCAGAAAGCCACGGCUAACUACGUGCCAGCAGCCGCGGUAAUACGUAGGGGGCAAGCGUUAUCUGGAUUUAUUGGGCGUAAAGGGAACGCAGGUGGUUUUUGAAGUCUGAUGUGAAAGCCUUCGGCUUAACCGGAGUAGUGCAUUGGAAACUGGGAGACUUGAGUGCAGAAGAGGAGAGUGGAAUUCGAUGUGUAGCGGUGAAAUGCGUAGAUAUAUGGAAGAACACCAGUGGCGAAGGCGGCUCUCUGGUCUGUAACUGACACUGAGGUUCGAAAGCGUGGGUAGCAAACAGGAGUAGAUACCCCUGUAGUC
rnacentral:rRNA from 1 species